rnacentral:rRNA from 1 species
GUAGGUGGCAAGCGUUGUCCGGAAUUAUUGGGCGUAAAGCGCGCGCAGGUGGGUUCUUUAAGUCUGAUGUGAAAGCCCCCGGGCUCAACCGGGGAGGGUCAUUGGAAACUGGGGAACUUGAGUGCAGGAGAGGAAAGUGGAAUUCCACGUGUAGCGGUGAAAUGCGUAGAUAUGUGGAGGAACACCAGUGGCGAAGGCGACUUUCUGGCCUGUAACUGACACUGAGGCGCGGAAGCGUGGGGAGCAAACAGGAUUAGAUACCCUGGUAGUCCACGCCGUAAACGAUGAGUGCUAAGUGUUGGGGGGUUUCCGCCCCUCAGUGCUGCAGCUAACGCAUUAAGCACUCCGCCUGGGGAGUACGGCCGCAAGACUG